CCUACGGGUGGCAGCAGUGGGGAAUAUUGCACAAUGGGGGAAACCCUGAUGCAGCGACGCCGCGUGAGUGAAGAAGUAUUUCGGUAUGUAAAGCUCUAUCAGCAGGGCAGAAGCAAGACGGUACCUGACUAAGAAGCCCCGGCUAACUAAGUGCCAGCAGCCGCGGCAAUACGUAGGGGGCGAGCGUUAUCCGGAUUCACUGGGUGUAAAGGGAGCGUAGACGGCCAUGCAAGCCAGGGGUGAAAGCCCGGGGCCCACCCCCGGGACUGCCCUUGGAACUGCAUGGCUGGAGUGCGGGAGGGGCAGGCGGAAUUCCUGGUGUAGCGGUGAAAUGCGUAGAUAUCAGGAGGAACACCGGCGGCGAAGGCGGCCUGCUGGACCGCGACUGACGUUGAGGCUCGAAAGCGUGGGGAGCGAACAGGAUUAGAUACCCUGGUAGUC
rnacentral:rRNA from 1 species